ACAAGCGGUGGAUGAUGUGGAUUAAUUCGAUGCAACGCGAAGAACCUUACCUACCCUUGACAUGUCCGGAACUUGCCAGAGAUGGCUUGGUGCCCGAAAGGGAAUCGGAACACAGGUGCUGCAUGGCUGUCGUCAGCUCGUGUCGCGAGAUGUUGGGUUAAGUCCCGCAACGAGCGCAACCCUUAUCAUUAGUUGCUACGCAAGGGCACUCUAAUGAGACUGCCGGUGACAAACCGGAGGAAGGUGGGGAUGACGUCAAGUCCUCAUGGCCUUUAUGUCCAGGGCUACACACGUACUACAAUGGCCGGUACAAAGGGCGGCGAGUCAGCGAUGACGAGCAAAUCCCGUAAAGCCGGUCUCAGUCCGGAUUGGAGUCUGCAACUCGGCUCCAUGAAGUUGGAAUCGCUAGUAAUCGUGGAUCAGAAUGCCACGGUGAAUACGUUCCCGGGCCUU
rnacentral:rRNA from 1 species